rnacentral:rRNA from 1 species
GACGAACGCUGGCGGCGUGCCUAAUACAUGCAAGUCGAACGCAGUGGGGACGGGUGAGUAACACGUGGGUAACCUCCCAUCAGAGGGGAUAAAACUUGGAAACAGGUGCUAAACCGAUACUGAUGGAUGAACCCGGGGUGCAUUAGCUAGUUGGGGAGGUAAAGGCUCACCAAGGGCACGAUGCAUAGCGGACCUGAGGGGGGGAUCGGCCACACUGGGCCUGAAACACGGCCCAGACUCCUACGGGAGGCAGCAGUAGGGAAUCUUCGGCAAUGGACGAAAGUCUGACCGAGCAACGCCGCGGAAGUGAAGAAGGUUUUCGGAUCGUAAAACUCUGUUGUUAGAGAAGCGGUAUCUAACCAGAAAGCCACGGCUAACUACGUGCCAGCAGCCGCGGUAAUUC